rnacentral:lncRNA from 1 species
CUCGGCUUCUAGUCCAGCACCCGGGGAAGAAUGGGGAUACAAGAUUUAUAGGACCCUGACAAAAAGGAAACAAGGCAAUAAGCAUAUAUUAAGAUUGCACUAUGUGCCAGGUUUUGUGGCAAAGGCUAGGGAACAAAUACAAGCUAAAAGGAAAGUCCUUGCCCUCGAGGAGCUUACAGUGAGAUGGCAGUGGAGGCACACAACAGGCUUUUGGAGAAAGCAUUGGGUAAGUAAACCUGG